UGUUAAUAACAGAUCACUAAAAAUACAACUGAAAACUUUUUAUCUGGGUUCAUUCAAUUCAUAUAUAUCAUAUUUAAGUAAAUAUGCAAAUAUGUGUGUGUGAUUAAAUAUGAUAGUUGCACAUCUUUCAAACUAGAAGGCCCUAGAUAAAAUAUAAACUGAAUUAUAUGGCUAGCUUAGCAGUAAUAAACUUACAGUAUACUUCGACAUUAAGAGAUUUUGAUGAAUAUUUAGGAGAAGGUUGAGGUCCUUCUGCUCCCAGAUCCAGCUCUGCUUCACACCUGUAUUGAGCUCCAUCAUCAGCUCUGUCUGGACGGAUCAGGAGUGUGACAGUUUUAUUCACUGGGGUCUUGUCAGUGUCACUGAAGGUGGUUUGAUGCAGCAGAGUCUGUCCUUUGUACCAUUUGACAGUGAGAUUCUGAACAGGAGCCACAUCAUGAACGUCACACUGGAGCUCAUACUGCUGUCCCUCUAUCAUUGGUCCUCUGUGAUUCACAGUGCUGAUGGACACACUGUC